GACGAACGCUGGCGGCGUGCUUAACACAUGCAAGUCGAACGGAAAGGCCCUGCUUGCAGGGUACUCGAGUGGCGAACGGGUGAGUAACACGUGGGUGAUCUGCCCUGCACUUCGGGAUAAGCCUGGGAAACUGGGUCUAAUACCGGAUAGGAGCCAUUUUUAGUGUGAUGGUUGGAAAGUUUUUUCGGUGUAGGAUGAGCUCGCGGCCUAUCAGCUUGUUGGUGGGGUAAUGGCCUACCAAGGCGGCGACGGGUAGCCGGCCUGAGAGGGUGGACGGGCACAUUGGGACUGGGGAUCGGGCCAGAACCCUACGGGGGGCAGGAGGGGGGAAUAUUGCACAAUGGGCGCGAGCCUGAUGCAGCGACGGCGCGUGGGGGAUGACGGCCUUCGGGUUGUAAACUCCUUUCGCUAGGGACGAAGCUUUUUGUGACGGUACCUAGAUAAGAAGCACCGGCUAACUACGUG
rnacentral:rRNA from 1 species